CGGUGAUACACAGUUUCUCAUAGCUAGUUAGUGGGGUCCUAGCUGCCUUUCGUAUUCCAGGGCGUGUCGCGAAAUUGCGUAGUUGGAUGUAUCUAAAUAGGUCUUUUGUUUGCAGCGGUGCAGUUUGUUUCAGCUCCUCAAACGAUUUAAAUGUGUCCCCAUCAUAUAAAUGGUAGUACCUUUGUAGGCCUGUGUAUUCCAACCCUUUAAAGUCUCGUGCCCGUAAGCCUGG